rnacentral:lncRNA from 1 species
GCGUGUAUGUAAAAUAGUUUCACUUGGCCGUACACCUGAAAUUAACACAACAUUAUAAGUCAACUAUACUCCAAUAUUUUUUUAAAAAAAGAACAAAUAUCCAAGCAAAAAGAGGAUGCAAUUUGAAUUUGAAUUUGAAUCACUCUAAACAUAUUAAUACAGUAUUUCUGCUAGUUAAAACCAAACCAAAAAAUAAAUAAAUAAAUAAAUAAAUAAACCUUUAGCCUCCUAGGCCUUCCCUGAGUUUCAGAACAAAUUUAAUCAGAGAAGUGAGAAAAUUCAGAAAUAAAGGAAAACCGUCAAGCAAGACAAACUAAGAAGAGUUUAGCCAUUCGACAAAGUCAAGGACCUCAAGAACCUUAAGUUCCUCCUCAAGGACUACAGGUGUGAUGACCGUUUUUAACUCCACGGCGAUUUUGAAGACCAGGAACGUUCAUGGGAAACACGUUCCAUUUGAUGUGAGCGUCUCCUCUGAGUUUCCUUGUGGUGUCUGCCUCCCAAAGCCUUCUUCCUCCCUCCUCCGUACCUGAUCAAGCACAGGUGAAGGAAUGAAGUCAUUGCUCUAGACCUGCCACCCAAGAGUCAGGAUGCAGACACAUCACCAAAGACUUAAGAGAGACAGAAGAAAUGCCUUCUCCACGGGCAGAUGGAGUGAGCAGUGUAGAAUCCAUCACCACAGUUCAAGGCAUCUCAGAGACUCAUUUCUGAAGCCAGGGCAGAAGAAUCGUGCUGCAUCUCUACAGAAACGUAGGUUUGUCAGCGGUUUCUGUUUUUGUUUCUCUCCCAUUAUUUUUCCAGGUAUUUUUCUUCUUUCUUCUCUUGACUUCCUACCUCCUGCCCCUUCAUGUUUUUUUCUUCCCUUCCUUCCUCUUCCUCCUCUAGGAAAACAGGGGACUUUUACUUUUGUGUACUGGCUGAAAAAAAUGUAACAUCAGGAGACACUUUGAUAAUCCUGUGAUUGUGACCGUGAUAAGGAGGAGAGAAGGAAGAACAGCAAAACUAAUUUGUCCCCAUACAAAAUCACUCACCUUUUGCAGACAAACUGCCCAUUUUCUCUAUUCCAUUCAAGCUACAUUGGGUGGGAGAAUUUCGAUCAUAAACUCCCUGAAGAUGGCGUUCCCGUCAUGGCUCAGUGGUUAACAAACCCAACUAGUAUCCAUGAGGACACAGGUUCGAUCCUUGGCCUCGCUCAGUGGGUUAAGGAUCCAGCAUUGCUGUGAGCUGUGGUGUAAGUCGAAGACGCAGCUCAGAUCCUGUGUCGCUGUGGCUGGGACGUAAGCUGGCAGCUACAGCUGCAAUUCAACCCCUAGCCUGGAACUUCCAUUUGCCCGCAGGUGCAGCCCUAAAAAGACAACAACGACACACACACAAAAAUCACUGAAGAAGGUAAAACUGAAUUAUUUGUGUUAGGGUCUUUUUUAAAGGAAAGAUCAGUUUUUCUCUGGUUUUCAUAGAUGUCACGUUCAAGUUCAUGUGUUUUUCAUGCUGGGGAGGUGGUGGGAGUGGAUUGUAUUUCAUGCAAGCAAUUCUUCUAAGGAGAUGUAUCAGUGAUAGUCAAUGCAGACUUCAAAACCUACUUCAUCUGAGACAGUGAACAUCUAGGGAAACAUGAAUGUACCUUUUUUCUAUACAACUAAAACCCAUCAGAGUAGCCCAGGUAGCCAAUAAUUCAAGUGCCAUUAUCUCAUUAUCCAUAGGAUCAAUUUUGGUCCCUGUGGUGCACCUGUAGACACUUGCUGCUGCCAACUGGGAAAGAAAAAAGCACAACCUAAAAGUUAUGAAUUACGGUUUGUUCAGCAGAUUUUCUGGGGACUUUAAGCCCAGGAGGCAGCCUCUCAGCUCCGAGGAUCGGUUCUGAAAAGGCCAAGGAGGAGCCAGGAUAUAGAAGAGUUUUUGCAGCAAAGACCAGAUAACAGCAAAAGAUUACUGUUUGUGAAAGAAAACCAGACAUCUCCAGUUAAUGAAUUAGUGCUUUUCUCUGUAUGGGAAGGUGCAAAAUCUGGGCUUAUUGAAAUCAUUUCUUGGAUCUGCACCUGAACUAUUUAGCAUCAAUGUCCUGUUUUUCUCCAUGCUGAAUCCCCUUGGGGGCACAAUUGGGGGCAGCUACAGUGGCUGAUGGCUCGAUGGUCACAACAUCCUUUGUUGACUGAUGUGGCAGGUGGCAUUUUUCAUCCUUAGCAUCAAUAGCCAGAACAGUGCCUGUAUUUACAGAGUGCUUAAGGAGCCGAGCACAGCUGGGGCGACUGCAGUGGCUGCUGGAUUAACGGCCAUAGCAUCUUUCAUUUGCUGAUACAACACUCUUCCCUCCACGCCGCUACUGUUUCCAGUGUGGAGUUGGUGGGGCAGGGGGGAAUCACAUUGAAAAUAGUUUACAAAGAAGAGAAAGUGUAUUUUAUCUAGGUGACUUGGAAAGAGACACUGCUCAAAAACCACCAGUCCACUAGGUUUAGUGGGUUUUUUGUUUUGUUCUUGGUUUUGUAUUUUAGGGCCAUACCCGCGGCACAUGGAGGUUCCCAGGCUAGGGGUCAAAUCGGAGCUGUAGCUGUUGGUGUACACCACAGCCUCAGCGACACAGUAUCCCAGUUGUGUCUGUGACGUACACCACAGCUCAUGGCAAUUCCAGAUCCUUAACCUAGUGAGUGAGGCCAGGGAUUGAACAUGUGUCCUCAUGGAUAUUACUCAGAUUCAUUUCCUCUGAGCCACGACGGGAACUCCUCAUUCAGAAUUUUUGUUACCGUCAUAACCCUUGGCUAGGAAAUGAGGGGAAGUGUGGUUAAAACAUUGUUUUUACAGCCAAGUUGCAUAAAAAAAUCAUUAAGGAGUUUGCAUCGUGGCUCAGUGGCAGCGAGCCUGACUAGUAUCCAAGAGAAUGCAGGUUCGAUCCCUGGCCUUGCUCAGUGGGUUAAGGAUCUGGCGUUGCCGUGCACUGUGGUGUGGGUCACAGACGUGGGUCACAGACAUGUCUCAGAUCCGGUGUGGCUGUGGUGUAGGCCAGUGGCUGCAGCUCUGAUUUGACCCCUAACCCCUUAUGCUGCAGUGCAGCCCUAAAAAACAAAAAAUAAAUAAAUAACAAAAGAUCA